CUACGGGUCGCUGCAGUGGGGAAUUUUGGACAAUGGGCGAAAGCCUGAUCCAGCAAUACCGCGUGCAGGAAGAAGGCCCUCGGGUUGUAAACUGCCUUUGUACGGAACGAAACGGCGCGCUCUAAUAAAGUGCGCUAAUGACGGUACCGUAAGAAUAAGCACCGGCUAACUACGUGCCAGCAGCCGCGGUAAUACGUAGGGUGCAAGCGUUAAUCGGAAUUACUGGGCGUAAAGCGUGCGCAGGCGGUUUUGUAAGACAGGCGUGAAAUCCCCGGGCUCAACCUGGGAAUUGCGCUUGUGACUGCAAGGCUAGAGUACGGUAGAGGGGGGUAGAAUUCCGCGUGUAGCAGUGAAAUGCGUCGAUAUGCGGAGGAACACCGAUGGCGAAGGCAGCCCCCUGGACCUGUACUGACGCUCAUGCACGAAAGCGUGGGGAGCAAACAGGAUUAGAUACCCCGGUAGUC
rnacentral:rRNA from 1 species